AGCUCAGUGGUAGAGCACUUGUCUGACAUGUAUGAGGCCCUGGGUUCAAUCCCCAG
rnacentral:tRNA from 1 species